rnacentral:tmRNA from 1 species
GGGGAUGAUCGGCCUAGACAAGAAGCACUUUUAAAUUAUGCGAGAAGAGUUUUCCAGAAUCUCUUUAAACUUCCGGAAAAACGAAUAACUGUAAAAAACUUAUUCAACACACCUGUUCCGGCUUUCGCUUUGGCUUAAGCCGCUUAUAAACAGCGUCUCCCUCGCCCAUUCCCGAUAAGCGAGACGGGGCGUCAAACAUCGGGAUAGAGAUUUUGCCGUUUCGCCAAAAUCUUGAAAUUAAAGAAACUUUAGAUUCGGGGGUUUUGUUUGCUUAACACCCCGCGUCCGAGAAAAAACAAGCAUCCUACUCUCGUAGAUUUAAUUUAAAAAACUUUUUGCACGGCGGUUCGAUUCCGCCCAUCUCCAUAA